GAGUGGCGAACGGGUGAGUAAUACAUCGGAACAUGUCCUGUAGUGGGGGAUAGCCCGGCGAAAGCCGGAUUAAUACCGCAUACGAUCUACGGAUGAAAGCGGGGGACCUUCGGGCCUCGCGCUAUAGGGUUGGCCGAUGGCUGAUUAGCUAGUUGGUGGGGUAAAGGCCUACCAAGGCGACGAUCAGUAGCUGGUCUGAGAGGACGACCAGCCACACUGGGACUGAGACACGGCCCAGACUCCUACGGGAGGCAGCAGUGGGGAAUUUUGGACAAUGGGCGAAAGCCUGAUCCAGCAAUGCCGCGUGUGUGAAGAAGGCCUUCGGGUUGUAAAGCACUUUUGUCCGGAAAGAAAUCCUUGGCUCUAAUACAGUCGGGGGAUGACGGUACCGGAAGAAUAAGCACCGGCUAACUACGUGCCAGCAGCCGCGGUAAUACGUAGGGUGCAAGCGUUAAUCGGAAUUACUGGGCGUAAAGCGUGCGCAGGCGGUUUGCUAAGACCGAUGUGAAAUCCCCGGGCUCAACCUGGGAACUGCAUUGGUGACUGGCAGGCUAGAGUAUGGCAGAGGGGGGUAGAAUUCCACGUGUAGCAGUGAAAUGCGUAGAGAUGUGGAGGAAUACCGAUGGCAAAAGCAGCCCCCUGGGCCAAUACUGACGCUCAUGCACGAAAGCGUGGGGAGCACACAGGAUUAGAUACCCUGGUAGUCCACGCCCUAAACGAUGUCAACUAGUUGUUGGGGAUUCAUUUCAUUAGUAACGUAGCUAACGCGU
rnacentral:rRNA from 1 species